rnacentral:rRNA from 1 species
GUCGAACGAAGCACAGAAAGCAGAUUACUUCGGUUUGAAGCUUUCUGUGACUGAGUGGCGGACGGGUGAGUAACGCGUGGAUAACCUGCCUCACACAGGGGGAUAACAGUUAGAAAUGACUGCUAAUACCGCAUAAGCGCACAGUCUCGCAUGGGACAGUGUGAAAAACUGAGGUGGUGUGAGAUGGAUCCGCGUCUGAUUAGGCAGUUGGCGGGGUAACGGCCCACCAAACCAACGAUCAGUAGCCGGCCUGAGAGGGUGAACGGCCACAUUGGGACUGAGACACGGCCCAAACUCCUACGGGAGCAGCAGUGGGGAAUAUUGCACAAUGGGGGAAACCCUGAUGCAGCGACGCCGCGUGAAGGAAGAAGUAUUUCGGUAUGUAAACUUCUAUCAGCAGGGAAGAAAAUGACGGUACCUGACUAAGAAGCCCCGGCUAACUACGUGCCAGCAGCCGCGGUAAUACGUAGGGGGCAAGCGUUAUCCGGAUUUACUGGGUGUAAAGGGAGCGUAGGCGGCGAUGCAAGUCAGAAGUGAAAGCCCGGGGCUCAACUCCGGGACUGCUUUUGAAACUGUAUGGCUAGAUUGCAGGAGAGGCAAGUGGAAUUCCUAGUGUAGCGGUGAAAUGCGUAGAUAUUAGGAGGAACACCAGUGGCGAAGGCGGCUUGCUGGACUGUAAAUGACGCUGAGGCUCGAAAGCGUGGGGAGCAAACAGGAUUAGAUACCCUGGUAGUCCACGCCGUANACGAUGAAUACUAGGUGUCAG